GAUGAACGCUGGCGGCGUGCUUAACACAUGCAAGUCGAACGGACCAUAUUCGUAUGGUUAGUGGCAGACGGGUGCGUAACACGUGGGUGACCUGCCCUCAAGUGGGGAACAACUCCGCUAACGCGGAGCUAAUACCGCAUAUGUUCGCUUUUUCAGUAAGGCGAGUAAAGCAGUAAUGCGCUUGGGGAUGGGCCUGCGGCGGAUUAGCUAGUUGGUGGGGUAACGGCCUACCAAGGCGAUGAUCCGUAGGGGGCGUGAGAGCGUGGCCCCCCACACUGGCACUGAGACACGGGCCAGACUCCUACGGGUGGCAG
rnacentral:rRNA from 1 species